rnacentral:tRNA from 1 species
GCGGAGGUGCCGGAGCGGCCAAACGGGCUAGGCUUAGGACCUAGUGGCUUAGUGCCUACGCAGGUUCAAAUCCUGUCCUCCGCA